rnacentral:rRNA from 1 species
CGCAGCCGCGGUAAUUCCAGCUCCAAUAGCGUAUAUUAAAGUUGUUGCAGUUAAAAAGCUCGUAGUUGAAUUUCGGGGUUAGUAGGUUGGUCGUGCCACUGGUACGUACUGGUCUCACUGAUUCCUCCUUCCUGAUGAACUGUAAUGCCAUUAAUUUGGUGUUGCAGGGAAACUGGACUGUUACUUUGAAAAAAAUUAGAGUGUUUAAAAGCGGGCAUUAGCUUGAAUACAUUAGCAUGGAAUAAUGAAAUAGGACGUUUGAUCCUAUUUUGUUGGUUUCUAGGAUCGACGUAAUGAUUAAUAGGGAUAGUUGGGGGCAUUAGUAUUCAAUUGUCAGAGGUGAAAUUCUUGGAUUUAUUGAAGACUAACUACUGCGAAAGCAUUUGCCAAGGAUGUUUUCAUUAAUCAAGAACGAAAGUUAGGGGAUCGAAGACGAUCAGAUACCGUCGUAGUCUUAACCAUAAACUAUGCCGACUAGGGAUCGGAUGAUGUUAAUUUUUUAAUGACUCAUUCGGCGCCU